rnacentral:rRNA from 1 species
CACGUAGGCGGCCUUGUAAGUUGGAUGUGAAAGCCCUGGGCUCAACCCAGGAAGUGCAUCCAAAACUGCAUGGCUUGAGUACCGGAGGGGUUCAGAGAAUUCCCGGUGUAGAGGUGAAAUUCGUAGAUAUCGGGAGGAAUACCAGUGGCGAAGGCGCUGAACUGGACGGUAACUGACGCUGAGGUGCGAAAGCGUGGGUAGCAAACA